rnacentral:rRNA from 1 species
GCCAUGGCGCGGCUAUAAUGCAGUCGAGCGAUGGAUUAAGAGCUUGCUCUUAUGAAGUUAGCGGCGGACGGGUGAGUAACACGUGGGUAACCUGCCCAUAAGACUGGGAUAACUCCGGGAAACCGGGGCUAAUACCGGAUAACAUUUUGAACCGCAUGGUUCGAAAUUGAAAGGCGGCUUCGGCUGUCACUUAUGGAUGGACCCGCGUCGCAUUAGCUAGUUGGUGAGGUAACGGCUCACCAAGGCAACGAUGCGUAGCCGACCUGAGAGGGUGAUCGGCCACACUGGGACUGAGACACGGCCCAGACUCCUACGGGAGGCAGCAGUAGGGAAUCUUCCGCAAUGGACGAAAGUCUGACGGAGCAACGCCGCGUGAGUGAUGAAGGCUUUCGGGUCGUAAAACUCUGUUGUUAGGGAAGAACAAGUGCUAGUUGAAUAAGCUGGCACCUUGACGGUACCUAACCAGAAAGCCACGGCUAACUACGUGCCAGCAGCCGCGGUAAUACGUAGGUGGCAAGCGUUAUCCGGAAUUAUUGGGCGUAAAGCGCGCGCAGGUGGUUUCUUAAGUCUGAUGUGAAAGCCCACGGCUCAACCGUGGAGGGUCAUUGGAAACUGGGAGACUUGAGUGCAGAAGAGGAAAGUGGAAUUCCAUGUGUAGCGGUGAAAUGCGUAGAGAUAUGGAGGAACACCAGUGGCGAAGGCGACUUUCUGGUCUGUAACUGACACUGAGGCGCGAAAGCGUGGGGAGCAAACAGGAUUAGAUACCCUGGUAGUCCACGCCGUAAACGAUGAGUGCUAAGUGUUAGAGGGUUUCCGCCCUUUAGUGCUGAAGUUUAACGCAUUAAGCACUCCGCCUGGGGAGUACCGGCCGCAAGGCUGAAACUCAAAGGAAUUGACGGGGGCCCGCACAAGCGUUGAGCAUGUGUUUAAUUUCGAAGCACGCGGAAAAUCUUACCAGUCUUGACAUCCUUCUGAGAUCCUAGAGAUAGGCCUUCUCUCCGGUACAGACUGACAGGUUGCUGCAUGGAUGUCAUCAGCUCUGAUAUGAAAUGUUACCUUACUCCGCAACUGAUGCAGAUGACUGACUUGACAUCAUAGUUGGCA